CCAAGGAGUCUAACGUGAGCGCGAGUCACAGGGAAAAACACUCCCUCGGGGCGCAGCGAAAGCGAUGUGGUCCGAUCCCUUCUCGGGCGAGGGGGGCGCAGGACCGGCCCGUCGGGGGUUGUUACGGCCUCGGCGGAGCAAGAGCGCUCGCGUUGGGACCCGAAAGAUGGUGAACUAGGCCCGAGCGGGACGAAGCCGGGAGAAAUGCUGGUGGAGGUCCUAAGUGGUUCUGACGCGCAAAUCGAUCACGGAACUUGGGCGUAGGGGCGAAAGACUAAUCGAACCAUCUA
rnacentral:rRNA from 1 species